GUAGGGUGCAAGCGUUAAUCGGAAUUACUGGGCGUAAAGCGUGCGCAGGCGGUUUUGUAAGACAGUGGUGAAAUCCCCGGGCUCAACCUGGGAACUGCCAUUGUGACUGCAAGGCUGGAGUGCGGCAGAGGGGGAUGGAAUUCCGCGUGUAGCAGUGAAAUGCGUAGAUAUGCGGAGGAACACCGAUGGCGAAGGCAAUCCCCUGGGCCUGCACUGACGCUCAUGCACGAAAGCGUGGGGAGCAAAC
rnacentral:rRNA from 1 species